CCUACGGGAGGCAGCAGUGAGGAAUAUUGGUCAAUGGACGAGAGUCUGAACCAGCCAAGUAGCGUGAAGGAUGACUGCCCUAUGGGUUGUAAACUUCUUUUAUAUGGGAAUAAAACGUUCCACGUGUGGGAUUUUGUAUGUACCAUAUGAAUAAGGAUCGGCUAACUCCGUGCCAGCAGCCGCGGUACUACGGAGGAUCCGAGCGUUAUCCGGAUUUAUUGGGUUUAAAGGGAGCGUAGGUGGAUUGUUAAGUUAGUUGUGAGAGUUUGCGGCUCAACCGUAAAAUUGCAGUUGAAACUGGCAGUAUUGAGUACAGUAGAGGUAGGCGGAAUGCGUGGUGGAGCGGUGAAAUGAUUAGAGAUCACGAAGAACUCAGAUUGCGAAGGCAGCUCACUGAACUGCAACUGACACUGAGGCACGAAAGUGUGGGUAUCAAACAGGAUUAGAUACCCCUGUAGUC
rnacentral:rRNA from 1 species